AUUGAACGCUGGCGGCAGGCCUAACACAUGCAAGUCGAGCGGAUGACGGGAGCUUGCUCCUUGAUUCAGCGGCGGACGGGUGAGUAAUGCCUAGGAAUCUGCCUGGUAGUGGGGGACAACGUUUCGAAAGGAACGCUAAUACCGCAUACGUCCUACGGGAGAAAGCAGGGGGCCUUCGGGCCUUGCGCUAUCAGAUGAGCCUAGGUCGGAUUAGCUAGUAGGUGAGGUAAUGGCUCACCCAGGCGACGAUCCGUAACUGGUCUGAGAGGAUGAUCAGUCACACUGGAACUGAGACACGGUCCAGACUCCUACGGGAGGCAGCAGUGGGGAAUAUUGGACAAUGGGCGAAAGCCUGAUCCAGCCAUGCCGCGUGUGUGAAGAAGGUCUUCGGAUUGUAAAGCACUUUAAGUUGGGAGGAAGGGUUGUACGUUAAUACCGUGCAAUUUUGACGUUACCGACAGAAUAAGCACCGGCUAACUCUGUGCCAGCCGCCGCCGUAA
rnacentral:rRNA from 1 species